UUCACCCUUCUCUUGAUCAAUGUCCAUGUUGGUAUUUGAGGGCCACACAGGAGCAGGAAAGGGAUCCUCCUAAGGGCCGAGACGUGUCGAGUACUGACCAAAUGCACAAGCGAAAUAAGACAAAGAAAACCUUAUAUUUUCGCACAAGACUGAAAAACGUGAAAGUGUUCUCCAGCCUGGGGGUCUCUCAUCGGUUACUAAACUACAACUCCUAUCGUGCCCUGACGGCCACCGUUGCUAGUCAUAUUUGUCCCAUUGAAUUGCCUAAUAUGGAUGAUAACAUGACCACAAAGCUGCUACGGGACCCAUCCUGCAUCGGGUUCAUACCGCUCUUAGAGCUAGUCGCUGCGUUUCAAUAUGAAGAAUUGUUUUUUUUUAAGUUUUUCAAUUUUUGGAAAGGUAAAUAAUAAAGGCGAGGAUGGUUUCCUUUUCCGUAAAGUGAACCUGUCAUCGCCGUUGGGCUGAUUACUGCGCUGGAUAGGGUCUUGGAACAGCCAUGCAAACAUCCCUCUAUUGAUGUGGACCGAGGCCUAAGUAGGGAGAGAAUCCAGUAUGGAUGAGUUUUAGGUGCCUAUUGGGUGAUGUCAAAAUGUGUCUCUGCCCUGCCUUCAUUGACCGUUUCAAUGCACUGAGAAAUCGUGGGACAGCACAUGCGCAGUACUCUCCAGCCUAUGUCUAUCAUGUGUAUGCGGUGCAUCACUAACCCAGGCAGAAUAACGCUACGCAUACGCAAAAUUGAACACCGACUGGACGUCGCUGUCUACGCGCAAGAUUGGACACAGGCUGGAGUGUACUGUGCAUGUGCAAAAAUGGAUACAGUGUGGAGACUACUGCGCUUGAGCGAGAUUGGGCACAGGAUAGAGAGUACUGUGCAUGCGCAUAAAUGGAUACAGGGUAGAGACUACAGUGCAUGUGCAAAAAUUGGACACAGGCUAUAGAGUACUGUAAAUGGCGCAAAAAUGGAGAGUGUGUGGAGACUACUUCGCAAGAUUGGACACGGACUAGAAUGCUGCGUAUGCACAAAAAUGGAUACAGGGUGGAGACUACUGCGCAUACACAAGAUUGAACACGGGCUAGAGAAUGCUGUGCAUGCGCAAAAAUUGAUACAGGAUGGAGACUACUGUGCAUACACAAGAUUGGACACAGGCUAGAGAAUGCUGUGCAUGCGCAAAAAUUGAUACAGGAUGGAGACUACUGUGCAAGAUUGGACACAAGCUAGAGAGUGCUGUGCAUGCGCAUAAAUGGAUACCGGGUGGAGACUACAGUACAUGUGUAAAAAUUAGACAUAAGCUAGAGAGUACUGUAAAUGCGCAAAAAUUGAGAGAUUGGAGACUACUGCGCAAGAGUGGACACUGGCCAGAGAGAGCUGUGCAUGCGCAUAAAUGGAUACAGGGUGGAGACUACAACUACUGUGCAAGAUUGGACACUGGCUAGAGAGUGCUGCGCAUGCACAAGAUUUCUGCUGCGAUGAGUGACAUCAGACAGCGAGGCGCAGGGAAUGCAGAGGGGAGACUGCGCAGUUAUCGGGGCCACCCACUGGCAACUUUUGGCCCAUUUGCAUAUUGGAUAAAACUUCUCUCCCUCCUUCGCCCCCCUGUCCGUUAGAGGUGUGAUUGUGCGUCUGUCUCGCACUCCGACCGGACGCUCUAAUUAGUUCAAUGGUGACAACGGCUCCGACAGAACAUUAAACACGUCGCAUCUUAUAUGAAGGGGGUUCAGAAGUAGUUGUAUCGGUGCAGUACGACCUAUAUCCCAUAACUACACUGACCCUUAUCUAUAUAUAUAUGAUAAUAAUAAUAAUAAAACUAUAUAUUUGCUUUAAACAUACUGUAAUGGCAGGACUUGAAUGAAAAACGCAUAUUCAUAGUUUUCUUCUUGGCCCGAAUGUUAGCGUCUCGGGGAACACGCGACCACUUCAUGAGACUGAUCGGCUUGUAUUAUGACGAGUAUUUUCUCUUGUAUUUUAUGAGCAGUUAGUAAUUUUGGUUUUUGCGGUUUUUUUUUUUCUUUUCUGUUAAGUAAUUUAUGACACUUCUUUUUUUUUUUUAACCGUAAGUGUUAUUUAAGUUUUGUUUGAGCAGUUGAUGUUUAUUAUACUUAUCUAGAGGAAAUUUGUGCUUACAAUUCAUUUCAGAACACAAGACUGGGGGGCUUUCUAGUUUUGGGGCAGGAGCAGUGAAUUAUUAGAUUUUUUUUUUUUUGUUGCAACCGUAUUGCCCCUUUUUGCAACCAACCAUAAAACCCGAAGGUUCUGUGGAACCGAUCAAUAAAUAAAACCCAAUGGUGAUCAAAUUCAGCUCUGUACAAUACUGGGGUGUCCGGGUAUUAUACUGAUGAUGGGGAUUAGGGUGAAUUCACACGCAGAAGAUUUGUUGGACUUCAUCCAAAUGGGGCUUACCGAAAACUGUCUAUGCAGAAAUGACAGCAAUCACUUCUAAAAAAAAAAAAAAAAGCGAUUUUCAGUCCCAGAA